GAGUUAGGAGUGCAAAUUAAUAAAAAAUUACCUCAAGAAGACAAAAGUUGAUACCCGAAGAGGACCGGUUAUGAAUCUAGGUCGAAAUCAGACCCCAAGGCACAAAACUGUGCUCUGACGGCGAUUCAAGAGUUCUUUGGGAGAUUGGAGAGCCGAAUUAGAAGGCAGACUUGUGGAGGGAUUUUUGAAAAGUGACUUCGUGUCGUUUGGAUCAGUAUUGGAUUUUUGAGGGAUUUUCAAAGCAAGUGAUGUUCUCUGUGAAUUCAGAUCUUUGAGAAAUAAAACCGGUUUACAAAUUUUUGGAUUUCGUGUCUUUUGUAGCAUUUUUAUGGGUGAAAAUUUAGAGAGUUAUUAGUAUGCUUGUUGUGAAUGUGUGUAAGAGAUUUGAAAUCAAUCAAAUAGCUAGAUCGAUACAUAUGAAGGUUUUUGUGGGCUAAGGUCUCAGAAUUUAGGGUUUUGAGGACCAGUAAGGUUUUCUUAGAUAUCUAGUAAUCUGCAAUUAGAUUGGAGAGAUUUUUGGUUUUAUCAAUAGAAGACUUGAUUUUUUAUAUGCAAGAAAAAUUUGGAAGAAAUUGAAUGGUGGAAAAGGGAGAUAUCAGCAUUGGAAGUUGGCAUCAAGAUUGGAGAAGGAGAGACCAGCUGACAUUCGAGCAGAAUUUUGAGGUCAUCGAUUAAUUGGUAAGUGUGAUUUUCUUCAAAAUUUGUAUGCUGGUUUCUAACUUAAAUUCCAAGAAGUGUGCAAAUUUUGAAUUAGAAUCAAUAGUUCAAUCUUUAGCUAUUUAAUUUUCAAAUCUAUGAUUAGGAUUUGAUUUGGAUUAAGAUUUGAUUACGGAUUGCUUUAAGGUCUAAGAUUUGAAUAAGAUUUGAUUAGGGUUUGGUUUAGGAUUUAGGGUUUGUCUAGGAUUUGAUUAAGGUUGAAUUAGGAUUAGAGGUUGGUUAGAAUAUAAGGUUUUAUUAGAUUUUUUUUAGGGUUUGACUAAGUUUUCUUUAAUAUUCUUUCAUAUUUCUAUAGGAUUUUCUUGUGUUUCUUUUAUAAUUUCAAUAAAAUUUAAUUGAGCUUGCUUAAUGUUUGAUUAUGAUUAUUAAUAUUUAAUUGUAAAUUUUCUAUAAUCCUAUUGGAUUGUUAGGACCUUUUGUUGCAAUUUUGUUCUACCUUCCAUAGCUAGGUGCUCGGUGCAUUCUCAUGCAAGACUUCACGUAAUACGACAUAUUUGGUGAACCCGACGUGAAAAACUUGAGGUAGAAGGUAUUUGGAGUUUCUUUGAUCUAUUUGGGUUAUGGAGAAGGAAGGCAAGAGAACGGAAGAAGGAGCUUUUGGUGGUGCUUCAAGUGGAGUUGGAAGUGGAGCUUUAAUUGAAAGACAAGGUAUGUAUUUUGAUCCCAACUCUUUAAGCAUGUUUGUGGCAUUGGCCUUAUUCAUGCAAGAAUAAUAGGUUAAAGAUUGCAAAGAGGGCAUGGCAGACAAAGCAUUAUAAGCUGUUGUAGACAAGAUUGAUCAAUUUGAAUAUUACAAAAUAUUUAAGGUAUAUUACAAAAUUGAGAGAAAGUAGAAGAUGUAAUUGGAGUGCUUGCAAAAAGAGAAAGGAGAAAAGAUAGGAUGGAAAUUCAAAGACCAUUGCAAGCAUCUAAGGAAAAAUGUAUGCUACCUAUCCUACAUCUACGAUUUAACCUUCAAUGGAUACAUCAAAGAGAGAAGAAAUGGGUAUUGAUGAAAUCAUACGAGGGAUGAGAGAUUUGCAAAUAAAAUUUGUAAAACUUAAAGAAAUGGAUCAAUCAUCAAAAAGAUCAACAAGACAAAAUUUAAGACCAAUAGAAGGUAUCGUGCAUAGGUGCAUGUGGUGUGAUAGCAUAGAUCAUUCAAAAAGGAAGUGAGGAUUUUUCAGAGGUGCUACACAAAGGAGUUAAUUUUUUUUAAAGAUAGUAUGAUACACUUAAAAGAGAGUGGAGAAAAAUUAGAGACAAAUUUUGGUAAAGAUAGAAUGAAGGUAUUUGUAGGAGAUGCUUUCAAAGUGCAUACAACUUCAAGCAAUGAAGCAUCAAUAUUUUGGGUGGGAGCAAAUCCAAAUAAAUGCUUAAGUAUAAAUCUUGAGUAUCCAAGAGAAUCUAGUUCUUUAUGGUCAAGUGCAAUGAAUUAUGUUAAAAAGGGAUAUUUUACUAGACAUGAUCUAAAACAUGUUGGCAAUAAUAUUUGGCAAAUUAUUGGGUGGAAUGAUCCAGUAGAUAGAUUAUCAGUUCAUGCUCAUAUUGCAAGGAGUCAACAUCAAGCAUUAAUAGAAGAAAAAUGAAGGGGAGACAAGAAUCAUGAACGGCCAUCAAAAAGAAUCACAAGGUGAGAUAAAACUCGACAAUAGAAGAAUCUUAUGCAUGAAGAGACAAUAGAGAAUAUUUCUACAAAGAAAAGGGAGAUUGUGAAAGAAAAAGUAAAGGUUCCUGCUUAUAAAUUACAAUCAGAUAUUGAAGCUGCUACAGAUUUAAAGAAAGUAUUGGAGAAGCAAAUUUUAAGGGGAAAGGUUGAAUUUAUAAUUGGUGAAAUUUUAGGAAUUGCAAAACAAGAAUUUUAUGAAAUUAUUAUUGAUACAAUAAAAAAAAAUGGCAAUCUAUUGGUGAUAUUAUGACAUCAAAUGCACAAGGUACAAAGGCAAUAGGAAGCAAUGAAGAUGAAGAAAUUGAAAUGCAAAUUGUUGGAGAUGUUUCACGAGUCAAAUUUACAGGAAAAAAAGAUAUGAUUCAAGCUUCUAGUCAUUAUUCUCGGAGUCAUUGGGCAAGGGCUACUACGGAAACUUUAGUAAAAUUGGGAGAUUUAGAAGAACCAAUUGUAGCAUUGAUUGAUCAUGGUUCUGAAAUAAAUUUAAUGUCAAAAGAAUUAUAUAAAAAGAGAAAUUGGCCUAUUGAUAUUGAGCAUGGGUGGAUGAUAAGAACAGCAAAUAAUUCAAAGGGCGAUUUGUAUGGAACUUGUUCAAAUAUGAAGGUGAUAAUAGGAGAUGUUAUUCAUGAACAAAAUUUCUUUGUGCAAGAUAUGUCUACAUAUCUUAUUAUAUUAGGACAACCAUAAAUUAUUGCCACAUGAAUGGAGACAAUGGUUAUGGAUGAUAGAUCAACUUAUGCAAAGAUAAGAAGUCAAGAUGGAAAGAGGGUGGUGCAAUUUUUAACAGUUUGUACAAAUCAUGGAAGAAAUAGGAAUAGUUUGAGGGAACAUCCUUUGCCAAAGAUACAUAAAGAAUUUGAAGAUCUUGAAGACUCAAAGGAUUUUUACUAGACACCAUUGUAAAACAGAAUUGCAAUGGUAAAAAGAGUGAAGGCUUCCUGCCUAAUAGAAAGGAUGAAGAUAUUGUAGGAUUACUGUAAGAUGGAUAUAUUUAAAAACAUAAAUAAUUUUAGUAGGAUAGAUAAAAAAAAUAUUAAGAAUGUAGAACAGGGAUUAAAGAAAUGUGGAAUGAUUGAUGAAGAUGAAUACAUAUCAGGGAUGUUUAAAGAAUCUUAUUUUGGUGAUACUAUGAAUGAUUUACAAAUAUUAUUGAAUGGAGAUUUUGAAAGAGGUGAUAAAGUAAUAAAUUUCUAUUCUAAGCAAUUUUAUGAUGGAAUAAAAGAAUAUAUGGAUAGGUAUGAAGUGAAGGUGAACACAAAAUAUAAGACUGUUGCAAGAAAGGUUAAACCAGUGGCAUUGCCACUACCAUCAAAUUUUGAAGAAAGGAUUAAAGGGGCUUCUAUGCAAUCUAAGGAAAAUAGGUCAUGAAUUCAAGGAUAAUUUGAUGUUAGAUGGUUUGAAAAUUGGAUGUGAUAAAUUUUUGACAAGAGAUGAGGAGAGAUGUUUUAAAGAAAUGUUUUCAUGACAUGGUAAAGCAUUUGUAUUUGAAUCACAUGAAAUAGGGUGCAUUGAUCUGAGUAUUGUAGCACCUAUGGUUAUUUUUAUAAUUCCGCAUGAACCAUGGAAUUUGAGACCAAUUCCAAUUCCAAAGGCCCAUUUGCCAAAGCUAGUUAUCCAAUGAAAAAAUUAAGAUGGGAAUUUUAGAACCAUCUAUUGCACCAUAUUUCAAUCGGUGGUUCACAGUACCUAAUAAAAAUGGAACAUUGAGGUUUAUUCAAGAUAUGCAAUCGGUAAAUAAAAUAACUAUUAGAAACAUGGACUUGAGUCCAAUUGUGGAUGAGUUUGCGGAGGCAUUUGCAGGGAGAUCAAUUUAUUCUAUGGAAAAUCUUUACUCAGGAUACGAUCAAUUUCAAUUGACAAUGCAAAGUAGAGAUUUGACAACUAUGAAGACACCAUUGGGAUUGGUUAGAAUGUAUACUUUACCACAAGGGGCUAAAAAUUCUGUGGCACACAUGAAGAAUGGAAUACAUAAGGUACUAAGAGAUUUUAUUUUAAGAAUAACAAUGCCUUUUGUAGAUGAUGUGCCAAUUAAGGGAUGUGAAGAAGAAAGAAAGGAUGAGAGAUUGGAUUCAAAGGGAUGUAGGAAGUUUGUGGUAGAUCAUAUUGAUGAUUGUGAGAAGAUUUUGACAAGGCUUGAAGAAGUUCAUUUAACCUUAUUGGGGACAUAAUCAAUAUUUGGAGUAAAAGAAGUUUUGGUAGUAGGGCACAUAUGUGGUUCAUAUGGACGCAAACCAAGUAGGAAAAAAAUUGAUAUUAUAAAAAAAAAAUGAAAGAGUGUACAAAUAUGACGGAAGUUAGGAGGUUUUUAGGAGCAUGUAUUUUUUUAUCAUAUAUAGAUACCUCAUUUUGCACAUAUAGCAGAUCUAUUAUAUGAGUUAUUACGAAAGAAUCAAAAAUUUUAAUGGAAAGAAGAACAAAGAAAAGCUAUGGCAAAGUUAAAAGAAUUUCUUUCUUCACCUCCAACUUUGAAGAAAGUAAAUUAUGAAUGUGGAAAGCUAGUAAUAUUAACAGUUGAUGCAAGUCCAAUUGCAAUAGGUUGGGCAGUUAGACAAGAUGAUGAACAAGAGAAUACAUAUGUAAUAAGGUUUAGAAUAAAGGUUUUGAAUGUUAGACAAAGGAUAUAUGUACAAAUCAAAAGAGAAUUAUGGAAUAUAGUGAUAGCUAUGAAAAAUGAAAGGAAGUAUUUGAUUGGUACAUCAGUAGUUGUAGAAAUAGAUUGUCUACCUUUAUUGGAUAUGAUUACAAGUUGUUCAACUCCCGAUAUUGCUAUGUUAAGGUAGAUGGCAUAUAUCAAAUCUAUAAAUCUGGAACUUAAAUAUAUUAUAAAAAAAAAAAUUCAGUCACAGAUAUGUUAUUAAGAACAAGGUAUUACGAUGAAGAAGAUAUGAUAGAUUUAGAAGAUGAUGUGAGUACAAAUUUUUAUACUAAUGCAUUAUCAAAGGAAGAAAGUAUAUAUUUGAAUAUACUAUUAGAAAUAUUUUUAAGAGAUCUAUAUGAAGAAGAAUGGAAAGACAUAGGGGAGUAUUUAAGCACAUUAAAGCGACAAGUUGGUUGGACAGAUCAAGAAUUUAAGAAAAUCCGAAAGAAAGCCUAUGGAUAUUUUUUACGUGAUGGAUAUUUAUGGAAACAUCCAAAGAAGAGAGGAAAAGUACCACGAGUGAUAUGUGGUUUAGAAGCUCAACAAAAGAUUAUUAAGGAAUUUCAUGAAAGUUUAUGGGCAGGGCAUUGAGGUAUUUGGGUUAUAUUUAUUAAGUUGAAAGAAAAAUAUUGGUGGAAGAGCAUGUAUAGGCAUGUGGCGGAUUUUAUAGGAUCUUGUGAAACUUGCCAAAUAUAUUCAAAUAUUCGUCAUCGAGAUGGUUUGCAUCCUACAUACCCAUUAGUAAUUCAUUAUAAAUGGGUGGUUGAUUUAGUUGUAAUGCUAAUGGGAUUUGGUCAGAAGAAAUAUUUGGUACUUUCUCGGGAAGAUUUGACAAAUCAAGUAGAAGGAUGAGCACUUUCAACAAAGACUAUGGAAGGAGUAUGUCGGUUUAUAUUAGAGGAAAUUAUUUGUUGGUAUGGAUGUAUUGAAAAAAUCAGUGCAGAUAGAGGAGAAUUGGAUGCAAAUGAAGCACGAGAGUUCUUUGAAAGGAUGGGAAUUAAACUUGCAUUGACAAUAAUAUAUAAUCCGGAAGGGAAUCGCAAGAGUGACCGUGGACAUUCUCCGAUUAUUAAAGCAUUGGUUAAAGCAUACAAAGGCAAGAUAAGUGAUUAGCCUAAAAUAUUACUAUUUUCAUUAUGGGCGGAUCACACAACUCAUAGUAUGGUUAAUAGAUACAUGCUAGCAAAAUUGGUGUAUGGUCAAAAAUUGGUAAUGCCGAUAGAAGAGGUUGUAUCAACAUGGACUAUAUUACCUUGGAAAGAUAGUUUAACAAGAGAAGAAUUAUUGGCAUUACAAAUUCGACAACUUGAAAGAAGGCCCAAGGACAUUGAAGUAGUUGUGAGAAAGUUGAAAGAAGUGAAAGAAAAAAACAAGGAGAGGUUUGACAGAAAGCAUCAAUUGCAUUCAAAACCAAUUCAAAAUGGUUAUUGGGUGUUGGUUUAUGAUAGUAGUUUGGACAACCAACAUAGUACGGCAAAGAAAUUUGCAAGGAGAUGGUUUGGACCUUAUGUUGUCAAACAAGUGCAUGAGAAUGGAACAUACUUAUUACAAAAAUUGGAUGGUACAGAUUUAAAGAUACCAAUAGCAAGCAAGCGAAUCAAAUUGUUUAAUGAAAGAGAUAAAGAUAUUUGUUUUAAUGAAGAACAAAAUCUAUUAAGAGAUAUUGAGAUGGAAAAAAAAGAAAAAAAAAUUAAAAUCAAGAAUUUGACGAAGAUGAAGAACAUUCGAUAUCAAUAUAAUGAAGGAACUUAGUGCAUACCAGAUGAUGCACAGGUUUAGGGGCGGUGGAUGUCAUGAUGUAACAUGGCUAAGAAGUGAAAGGGUGAAAAAAAUAUCAUGUUUUGACGAUCUCACUUCAAAAAUAUUAUAGCAAAUUAUCUUGGAAAAAUAGAUAUUAGUCAAAGGGUAGAAAAAUUAAAGGUGCUAAUACUGCCUAUUUACAAAUUAUGCUUCUAUUUACUUUGUAAGGCCAUAAAUAAGACAAAACAAGAUAGAUUAGAAAAAUAAAGAAUAUAGGCAUAUGUAAGAAGGAGUUAGAAGUGCAAAUUAAUAAAAAAAUUACCUCAAGAAGACAAAAGUUGAUAACCGAAGAGGACCGGUUAUGAACCUAGGUCAAAAUCAGACCCUAAGGCACAAAACCGUGCUCUGACAGCGAUUCAAGAGUUCUUUGGAAGAUUAGAGAGCCGAAUUAGAGGGUAGACUUGUGGAGGGAUUUUUGAAAGGUCAAUUCGUGUCCUUUGGAUCAGUAAUUGAUUUUUGAGGGAUUUUCAAAGCAAGUGAUGUUCUCUGUGAAUUCAGAACUUUGAGAAAUAAAACCGGUUUACAAAUUUUUGGAUUUUGUGUCUUUUGUAGCAUUAUGGGUGAAAAUUUAGAGAAUUAUUAGUAUGCUUGUU
rnacentral:lncRNA from 1 species